GACGAACGCUGGCGGCGUGCCUAAUACAUGCAAGUAGAACGCUGAAGGAGGAGCUUGCUUCUCUGGAUGAGUUGCGAACGGGUGAGUAACGCGUAGGUAACCUGCCUGGUAGCGGGGGAUAACUAUUGGAAACGAUAGCUAAUACCGCAUAAUAGUAGAUGUUGCAUGACAUUUGCUUAAAAGGUGCAAUUGCAUCACUACCAGAUGGACCUGCGUUGUAUUAGCUAGUUGGUGAGGUAACGGCUCACCAAGGCAACGAUACAUAGCCGACCUGAGAGGGUGAUCGGCCACACUGGGACUGAGACACGGCCCAGACUCCUACGGGAGGCAGCAGUAGGGAAUCUUCGGCAAUGGACGGAAGUCUGACCGAGCAACGCCGCGCGAGUGAAGAAGGUUUUCGGAUCGUAAAGCUCUGUUGUAAGAGAAGAACGAGUGUGAGAGUGGAAAGUUCACACUGUGACGGUAUCUUACCAGAAAGGGACGGCUAACUACGU
rnacentral:rRNA from 1 species